rnacentral:rRNA from 1 species
UGCCGCCUGCCGGGCWGCCCUUAMCAUGCAAGUCGAACGGCAGCACGGACUUCGGUCUGGUGGCGAGUGGCGAACGGGUGAGUAAUGUAUCGGAACGUGCCCAGUAGCGGGGGAUAACUACGCGAAAGCGUAGCUAAUACCGCAUACGCCCUACGGGGGAAAGCAGGGGAUCGCAAGACCUUGCACUAUUGGAGCGGCCGAUAUCGGAUUAGCUAGUUGGUGGGGUAACGGCUCACCAAGGCGACGAUCCGUAGCUGGUUUGAGAGGACGACCAGCCACACUGGGACUGAGACACGGCCCAGACUCCUACGGGAGGCAGCAGUGGGGAAUUUUGGACAAUGGGGGAAACCCUGAUCCAGCCAUCCCGCGUGUGCGAUGAAGGCCUUCGGGUUGUAAAGCACUUUUGGCAGGAAAGAAACGUCGCGGGUUAAUACCYCGCGAAACUGACGGUACCUGCAGAAUAAGCACCGGCUAACUACGUGCCAGCAGCCGCGKWAAUA